rnacentral:lncRNA from 1 species
CCAUGUCACUUCCUGGUUUGGUAGAGCCUGGCAUCACCUUUAGUAAGGUAGCCCAUGCCCCCGCUCCUCUUGGCCUCGAUGCAAAACUGGAAAGAACAUUCCAAGGCAACGGGACCCAGGUUGGCGAGGCUGGUGACAGUAAGAAGGAAGGGUGCUUAGGAGAACAUGCAGUAGAACUUUUCAUCAAACAAAUGGAACACGUCACAGAAUUUUGCUAACAUGGACAACUCUGCACAGAAAAAUGAACGCACUGGCAAACAUCCCAGACGUGCCAGUGAAGUACAGAAAGGUUUUACUGCUGCAUAUCCAACACAAUCCUCCAUUCCUUUUAAAUCUCAAGCUUCAGUAAUCCCAGAAUCAGAAAAAAAAGGAUUCAAUAGUCAAGCCAAGAGAUUUCCUCAUAAGAAGGUAAUGACGUUGUCUCAGGGGUUCUUUCGUUUUAGUCUGGAUUUUAGCCUUGCGGGACAGGCACGUUCUGUCUGGCUGCUGUGUCUUUCUGUGGACAGUGGAGGGCAGUGUGCUCCCAGGAGCCGCGGCACCAGCUCCACUGAGGGGCACCGACUGGACUAACUGUAAGAACGAGCCUGAAAAAUGGGACAUCCAGGGAAAAACAACUGUGUCUGGAUUUAUGGCGCCAAAAAUAUUGAACUGGACCAAAACUAUUUUAAGAAAACAAUAUAUUUUAAAAAUCAUCAUAAAGCUAAAAAAUUG